AAUUCAGUUCGGUAGAACGUGGGUUUCCAAAAUCCGAUGUUGUAGGUUCAAAUCCUAC
rnacentral:tRNA from 1 species